rnacentral:sRNA from 1 species
CUUAGGCACAAAACAGGCACCAUUCAGGCAGUGGAAGUGGCAAGCUACACCACAGUGCCCUACCAGUGUACCUUAGUUCUGACCUGGAAAGACCAUCCCUAACUUAUG